CGUGUUCGUGGUGGGUAGCGCCACAUCGGCUCUUCGCGGUCAUGCAGCUACGGAUUAUGAAUAUACAGCGACGACUGAUCGCGGGCAGUGGCUACUCCUUGCGCAUCUGUCCUUGCAACCAGUGUGUCAGCGAGGAGGUGCAGCCUGACAGAAUUGGGACUUGGGGCAGAAGGGCCCCCAGGAGCUGUUGUGUCUGCAGGGGUCACUCUGGGCACUUAGACAGGUGUGCGGGACCUGCAGUGGUCCCUUGGAAACAGCCAAGGUGCCACAGGCAACAGGUGAGUAUGUGUUUUUGCCUUUGACAUGCUCUGGACUCACACUGGCCAGAGCGAAUCUGCCAGAACCUACAUGUGCAACCCUGACCUUGGCCUGCUCCAGACCCACGCUGAGCAGUGGCAGCGGCUAAGCAGAAGCUGCUGCUUGGGGCAGGGGAAAAGUGGCUCCUCCAGUUCACUAGGGCCAUGCCCUUUUUGCUAGAGGUGUUUGAAGUCUGUGCCCAGGUUGGCCUGCAGCUCCUCUCCAUCACCAUCAAUGCCAUGUUUGGGCUGGUCAGUGGGGCAGUGGUGGCAGUGCAGAGGAGCCACAGGGCAGCCUGGGCUCUAAGUGACUGCAGCAAGAAGGGUCUGGCACCCGCGAUGCAGGGGGCACUGCUUUUCCCUUGUAGCAAGCUGCAGCUUCUUGGCCGUGGUUGCCGCUGCCAUUGCUUGCUCUGUGUGGGUGGGCAAGUUCAAAGGAGGGUUGGGCUGUGUGCAUGGGUUCCGGCUGGUUAAGAGCUGGUCUGCUUCGCUGGGCCAAGUCCAGAGCAUGUGCAGAGCCAUAAGGGCCUCAUUUGACUGCUAAGUAUAACCAUUUCAGAUAAAAAAUUCCCAGAUAUUGCUUCUGAGAGUAUAAAUGGGGGGGAAUAUGUACCUUUUUUUCUUUUUAAACCUUUUAGCUACUAGCAGUAAAUUUUAAACCAGGAUUUCCUUGGCUGAUCUCAGCAUAUCCAGUGCCACAUUUGUGGCCCUUGCUGCUCAGAAUUGGAAUCACUUGGAGUUUAGAUGAUGACCUUCUUUUACACAGUUUCAGCUGUGCGCAAUGGAACCCUUACAUAGAGUGUUUUUUAACUUGGUGAUGCACGUUAUCAAGAACCAGGUACUGUUCAGUCUUUUGAGAGACAAGACUACAGCUCUUUUAUGAUCAGGACUUUUUUGUAAGAUUAGAGACAGAAUUCUGGGAAAGUUGUGUUUCCUGUACUGAUUACCAGGGAUCCUGGUUUUGUCUGAAAAAGAAAAAAAAAAAUCACAAAUUCUCUGAUUUAAAAACUGCAACAUCUGCGUUUUUCUGAGAUUAAAAUGAAACGCCACUAUGUUGUUUUACUGAUAAAUUUACUAUUUUAAAGCUAUUUGGAAUUCUACCAGUGCCUCAAUCACUUUUAAUAAAAUAGAUUCUAAACACCUAUA